GUCACCUGGUGGGGUAUUCUGUGAGUCCAUGGAGAGGUUCCUGUCACCUGGUGGGGUAUUCUGUGUGUCAAUGGAGAGGUUCCUGUCACCUGGUGGGGUAUUCUGUGAGUCCAUGGAGAGGUUCCUGUCACCUGGUGGGGUAUUCUGUGUGUCAAUGGAGAGGUUCCUGUCACCUGGUGGGGUAUUCUGUGUGUCAAUGGAGAGGUUCCUGUCACCUGGUGGGGUAUUCUGUGUGUCAAUGGAGAGGUUCCUGUCACCUGGUGGGGUAUUCUGUGAGUCCAUGGAGAGGUUCCUGUCACCUGGUGGGGUAUUCUGUGAGUCCAUGGAGAGGUUCCUGUCACCUGGUGGGGUAUUCUGUGAGUCCAUGGAGAGGUUCCUGUCACCUGGUGGGGUAUUCUGUGAGUCAAUGGAGAGGUUCCUGUCACCUGGUGGGGUAUUCUGUG